AUUGAACGCUGGCGGCAGGCCUAACACAUGCAAGUCGAGCGAGCGGCGGACGGGUGAGUAAUGUAUGGGGACUGCCCGAUAGAGGGGUAUAACUACUGGAAACGGUGGCUAAUACCGCAUACUUUAGGGUAACCCAUAUGGGAUUAGCUAGUAGGUAAGGUAAUGGCUUACCUAGGCGACGAUCCCUAGCUGGUCUGAGAGGAUGAUCAGCCACACUGGGACUGAGACACGGCCCAGACUCCUACGGAGGCAGCAGUGGGGAAUAUUGCACAAUGGGCGCAAGCCUGAUGCAGCCAUGCCGCGUGUAUGAAGAAGGCCCUAGGGUUGUAAAGUACUGUCAGUCGGGAGGCGUUACCGACAGAAGAAGCACCGGCUAACUCCGUGCCAGCAGCCGCGGUAAUAC
rnacentral:rRNA from 1 species